ensembl:snoRNA Gm23437 small nucleolar RNA SNORA17
CCUGUUCUUGAAAGGGAGUGUGGCUGCUCUGUCACAUGCAGGUCAGUAGGUGGCAGAGUGGAGACAGGCUAUAUCUCCACUCAGUGUUCUGACCUUUGAACAUCUGAAUGAUCAGUAGCCUAAAAUU